rnacentral:rRNA from 1 species
GACGGAGGGUGCUAGCGUUGUUCGGAAUGACUGGGCGUAAAGGGCGCGUAGGCGGCUUGGUAAGUCGGGUGUGAAAGCCCGGGGCUCAACCCCGGAACGGCAUCCGAUACGGCCAGGCUGGAGACCGGGAGAGGAGAGUGGAAUACCCAGUGUAGAGGUGAAAUUCGUAGAUAUUGGGUGGAACACCGGUGGCGAAAGCGGCUCUCUGGCCCGGAUCUGACGCUGAGGCGCGAAAGCGUGGGGAGCAAACAGG